UACGUAGGGUGCAAGCGUUAAUCGGAAUUACUGGGCGUAAAGCGUGCGCAGGCGGUUAUGUAAGACAGGUGUGAAAUCCCCGGGCUUAACCUGGGAACUGCAUUUGUGACUGCAUAGCUAGAGUACGGUAGAGGGGGAUGGAAUUCCGCGUGUAGCAGUGAAAUGCGUAGAUAUGCGGAGGAACACCGAUGGCGAAGGCAACCCCCUGGACCUGUACUGACGCUCAUGCACGAAAGCGUGGGGAGCAAACAGG
rnacentral:rRNA from 1 species